rnacentral:rRNA from 1 species
UACGUAGGGCGCAAGCGUUGUCCGGAAUUAUUGGGCGUAAAGAGCUCGUAGGCGGCUUGUCACGUCGGAUGUGAAAGCCCGGGGCUUAACCCCGGGUCUGCAUUCGAUACGGGCAGGCUAGAGUGCGGUAGGGGAGAUCGGAAUUCCUGGUGUAGCGGUGAAAUGCGCAGAUAUCAGGAGGAACACCGGUGGCGAAGGCGGAUCUCUGGGCCGUAACUGACGCUGAGGAGCGAAAGCAUGGGGAGCGAACAGG